rnacentral:tRNA from 1 species
GGAGGGAUACCCAAGGGGCUAAAGGGGGCAGACUGUAAAUCUGUUGGCACAGCCUUCGAUGGUUCGAAUCCAUCUCCCUCCACCA